UAGUGUAUAUCAUGUCUCUGUGCGACCAUUGCGAAAUCGGGUGCCGCCGUGCGGGCAUCAAGGACAUCGAGGACGCGUCCGCUGUCAACGCAGACUUCCACUUCUCCGCCAUCUUUCAGCCCACCGACCCGCACCACCACCAAACCGAGUUCGCCAAGGUCGAGGGGAGCGAGAAGUACGUGGAGGAGGUGGAGGUGUUCGGGCGCAAGGUGCUGAAAGUGAACCCCGAGGCCCUCACUAUCCUCGCCCACCGCGCCUUCUCGGAUGUGCACCACUUCUUCCGCAAGGACCACCUGGAGGGUUGGCGUCGCGCCAUCGAGGACCCCGAGGCCUCCGACAACGACCGCUACGUCGCCAUGACGCUGUUGAAGAACGCCUGCAUCGCGGCAGGUCGGGUGCUGCCGUCGUGCCAGGAUACCGGCACGGCCAUCGUGCUCGGCAAGCGUGGCGAGCUCUGCUGGACCGGGGGCGAGGAUGAGAAGUACUUGUCCAAGGGUAUAUGGAACGCCUACAGGUACCACAACCUGCGUUACAGCCAGACUGCCGCGCUGGACAUGUUCAAGGAGUGCAACACCGGCGACAAUCUUCCCGCCCAGCUCGACCUGCUCGCGGUGCCCGGAAGCGACUACGAGUUCCUCUUCAUUGCCAAGGGCGGCGGCUCGGCAAACAAGGCGUACCUGUACCAGGAAACCAAGGCGUUGCUGAACCCCAAAUCGCUGCGCGCCUUCAUCGAGGAGAAGCUCAAGACCCUCGGCACGGCUGCCUGCCCGCCGUACCACAUCGCCCUCGUCAUCGGCGGCACGAGCGCGGAGAUGACCAUGAAGACGGUGAAGCUGGCCAGUUGCCGCUACUACGACUCGCUCCCGACCACUGGCGACAAGUACGGCCGCGCCUUUCGCGACCCUGAGUGGGAGAAGAUCGUGAUGGAGGUGGCGCAGAAGAGCGGGAUUGGAGCGCAGUUUGGUGGCAAGUACUUCGCCCACCAGGCGCGCGUGAUUCGGCUGCCCCGCCACGGUGCCUCCUGCCCAGUGGGCCUUGCGGUGUCUUGCAGCGCUGAUCGCCAGAUUCUUGCGCACAUCAACAAGAGCGGCAUCUACAUUGAGCAGCUUGAGCAGAACCCGGCGCAGUACCUGCCCGACAUCCCGGAAGUGCGCCUGAGCACCACGAGCGUGAACGUCGACCUGAAGCGCCCCAUCGACGAAGUGCGCCAGCAGCUCAGCCAAUACCCGGUCGGUACCCGUGUGAUGCUUAACGGCACCCUCAUCGUGGCCCGCGAUAUUGCCCACGCCAAGAUCAAGGAGAUGAUGGAUAACGGCGAGCCGCUGCCAGAGUACAUGAAGACGUCGCCUAUUUACUACGCCGGGCCCGCCAAGACGCCGGAGGGCCACGCCUCUGGUUCCUUUGGCCCGACGACGGCCGGCCGCAUGGACUCCUACGUCGAUCUCUUUCAGUCGCACGGCGGCAGCUACAUCACGCUCGCCAAGGGCAACCGCAGCAAGCAGGUGACGGACGCGUGCAAGAAGCACGGUGGCUUCUACCUCGGCAGCAUUGGCGGUCCAGCGGCCAUACUCGCCAAGGACUCGAUCAAGGAGGUAACAUGCCUCGCCUUCCCGGAACUCGGCAUGGAGGCGGUGUGGAAGAUCGAGGUCGAGGACUUCCCUGCGUUCAUUGUCGUCGAUGACAAGGGAAACGACAUGUACUCGAAGACGCUUGCGUGAGCGCGCAACGUCUCCUUACACGGGCUCUGCCCCCGCGCUUUCGAUCAUAGCCUCCCUCCCUCCCUCCCUCCUGCUGCUCCGCCAAUCACCUCACCUUUAACUUGUGUGUACGGGCAUCAGAAAAAAGUAAUACCUCUGUUGCCGUCUCUUCCUUUUCUUGUCGUCAUGACACCCUUUCUCAUGUGUGGUGUCGGCGCUGCUGCCCGUCGUCUCGUGUACGCGUAUUGCGUUCGUAGACUAGCUCGUGGUCGCGUGUGGUGUGCUUUCUGCCAUAUAGCAGUCCAGAAGAUGAGAAGGCGGUCCGCCAGAGGUUGCCAUGCAUCCUCUGCGGCAACACCGCCACGACAGUCACCCACCCACCCACAUACACACACACACACAGAAAGGUACGAGGGCGGCCCCGUUUCAUCAGGCACUCAUCAUCACUACUCGAGAGUCCGAACAGAGACAGUUGGCGACAGAGAGGAAAGCGUUUCACCGUUCAAGCGGUAGUACCCCGAACGCGUAGCCGCUUACCCUCCUCUUCCCCCUCCCUCUCCCGGCCUCUCUCCCUUUUUUUGCCCUCAUUUCUCAUGGUUGUGUUCUUGCUUUGCUUGACUGCUGAUGCUGUUUGUUGGCCUUUUACCGGACCCCCUCCUCAUCCUUGCCGCCGUCCUCGUGUUUUUGCUUUCUUUUUCUUUCUGUGGAGCAGACCGAUUUUGUUCGCUUGAUGAUUAUUUUUGGGGGGCUUUGCUCUGUUUUGCUUAUGCUCUUCUCCCUGCUUCACCUGGCUGCAGCCAACGAUGUGCUCUUGCGAUGGUGUCCUCGUGACCUCCUUGUGAAGGUGCUGUGACACGGGUGUAUAUUGCCGUUGCAGAGACGUGCGAAAUGAGGUGUGGAGCGGUGAUAGCGCCUUUUCCAGACGGAAAGUCGAAGGACGCCCGGCACAGCCCGUCUGCUCUUUCUCACUUUGUGUCUCUAUCUGCCGGUGCCUCUCUCACUCUUCCUGUCGUCUGUCUUGUCGCUCGUUGGUUUUGUGGCCGCCGUCCAGAAGUGCGGAUUUUGGGGGCAUUCGGAAAGCAUGUGCCACGCAAACUCUACUCAUUUAGGUAUCUUUGUGUGAUGGAGAGGGGAGUCGCUGUGUCACCCGUGCUGCCUUCGUAGCUCCGUUGGCUUUUAAGCGGCCGUGGCGCGUGCAUUUUGUGAGCGCACGUGUACGCAGCUUAUGGGAGCCGUUUUGUAUCUUCAUAGGCGCAUACUCAUACACAUGCGCCGUCGCGCUCUUUUACACGACAGCCCACAGGCAAAGGGAAAGGGAGGGGAGUCCGUGCGUCGCCACUAGCCUUGGCAACGACAACCUGCUGGCACGCCUCUGUGUGUGUGUGUGUGUGUGUUGAACCGCAGAAGCGAGAGAGGGAGGGCGAGUGGGCUCAAAGCUGCUUUCUCUCUCACACACACACACUUCCCUCCACGGCUCCCUCGCAUCGCCCGCCCGCCACCCCACUCACCCCCCCCCCAAAAAAAAAAUGGGGCGUGACUUCCUUCAUGUCAUAUUAAGUGUGCAUAGUGCAACAAAGCGGAGAGAGGGUGUGAGGUACCGAGUGUGGCGCCGUGGAUGCCAGGCGGUGGCCACCCACCACCCUCUCCUCCCUCCACUCCUCCUCCGCCGUGCCUCCAUGUGCUUGCCUGAGUUCCUGUGCGACCUGCGGCUCUCGCAUUUCGCCGUCGCUUCUCUUUAUGCCUUUGUGUGUCUGUUUACGUUCUCUUCUCCCACUCAACCACCCUCUCACACGCUAUCUUCAGUUCCUGUUCCUGCUUCAGAGCUGCGCGCACGCACGCCGCACGAGGGAGACGAAUGCGUGAGGAAGGAAGCAGAGGCGAUCCGGUAUCCCCCCCCCGAACGGAUGACUGUCCAUCUUUCAUAGGCGCCUGCGUGUGGGACCUUACGUGAGCGUGUUAUGCAUGUUGACCGCUUUUGGCGUGCGUCUGUGUUUGCGUUGUCGUCGCCCUCCCUCCUUUUUCUCUUUUCGUCAUAUCCUAAGCGCAUCUACGUGCGUGGGAAGGAUGCGUGUGAAGCCGCGGUUUUGUCCAGCCGUAACAGCAGCUUUACAUGCAGCACGACUGCAAUGUACAUCCGAGCCACGGUGCAUCAAAAUACCAUACGUGCAUCGGUCAAAGAGAGACCCUCCCUUCACCUCGCGCUUAUCGACCUCCCCCCUCUCCCGCUUGCCCCUCCUGUGAUGAAUCUGUUUUGUGAAGAUGGUCUUCUUCGCCGGGGGGCGGGGAGGUAUGUCGCUGUCUCCGUAUUGAAAUUAAUGACGGAUCAUUU
rnacentral:misc_RNA from 1 species